AAUUCAAUAGCUCAAUAUCUCACUAAGCCGGAGUCACCACAGUGACCUAUACGGCCCUACUCUGCACAUCACUCGGAACUACGUAAGGUAGUCUAUACGAUGAAAGGUGUAAAAUACGCUCUAGUGCUUCUCUCAUCAUAUCAUCAGCGCGCAUAUCUAAGGUCACCCACCAGUCGGAACCCCUCUAAUGGUCUGUACGACUGGCAUGUCGGAACCCUCACAUGGUCUGUACGACAUCCACCUACUUGGAUCCAAGGCGAGCGUGCGGUGUGGUGAAUAAUAUAAGCACUAACACCUAGGGUGCAGGUUAUGAGCUCAAAACAUCUCAACAACAACAAUUCAAUGAAUAAAUGAACUCACCUGACUUACCUGUGCCUCCACAGCACCAUGUAACAUGUAUGCAUCAUAUAUCAAUCAUGUAAUUCAUAUAACAAUUCACAUUUUCAAAUAAUUCUAUGCAUGGCAUUUUUAAAGCAUAUCUUCAUAUAAAUUCAUUUUCUGGGAAAAAUCAAUAGUAUAAAGGUAAUACAAAAACAAAACUGCCCACUCACCUGGAGUUCGCCCAACAACUCCCUAGCACCACACAUCAAGGCAUCAUGAAGAUUAGCGCCUAGAACAAUAAUCAAACCCAACCUCAGAAAUCAUGCCGAUAGAAUACAUAACUUAUAUAAGACACGUCACUACGUAAUUCGAUCCGGAUGAUCUGCAACUCAGAUUUCAAAUCCGUAACUUCCAGAGGUCCACAAUAUACCUCUAGGACAACAUCUUAAAAUUUCAUUACCAUCCAACGGUCGGAUCUCCGUCAAUUUCCAAAACUAAGUGACGGUUAACAUUCUAUUUUAUGAACUUACAACUUCAAUUCCGGAAGAUCCGUAAAUCGGAUUCUCAAUCCGUAAGUUCCUAUAAUCCUCAAAUAUUACGUAUUACAACGUAUCAAAGUUUGGUGACGGUCCAACGGUCGGAUCGUCAAUUCACAUUUUCACCUAACCACGAAUCGUAACCAACUUAGGUUCAAUUAUUCAAUUUACGUCCAUCAAUUAUCAAAACAGAACCUAGAACCUUAAUCACAAGCUAAUAAUGACAUUGGCGGGCCAUUGGCCACGCACCGCCGCGCGGGCCGCCGCGGGUGGCGGUUGGCCGCCCCGGCUCGCCGGAAAAUUCAACUAUUUCCAAAAAUUACUAAAAUUUGCAGAUUUGAAGAUCUCAAUGAGUAGAACAACUUUCAUACCUGAGGCCAAGGCCAAUUUGGCCUGGAAGUGCUUCAAUUUCACCAAAACCGUGAAGAACCCUAGAAUUGGGUGUUUCCAAUUCGACCUUCAAACUUGUUCCAACGCCUCAAUUACCUCUUGGGCUUUGUUUUAGGUCCUAAGGGAAUGCUAAUGGUGUUAGUAAUUGAAAGAAAACAUUUCAAAAUUUGGAGAAUUUAAACAAAAGGGUCGCGGCACCCGUAGGGGUGUUCUUCGCGAAAUCACAACGAAAUUCAAUGAUUCUUGGGGUGAAACGUGAAGAGGGAAGGCCUAGAUGAUGAUUAGGAGUGGUACCUUGAUUCAAUUCGUCGGAAAAUUGGACGAAAAUGGCGAAAACCCGCCGAUUGGAAGUCGCGGGUCGCGCGGGUAUACGGGUUGGGGAAAACCCAUUUCUUCCUUCUCUCCUCCGCUUCUCGCCCUCUCUCCUUUCCUCCUUUCCUUCCUCUAGUUGGUCAGCUUCUCCCUCUCUCUUCUCCCCAUUCGGUCUCUCUCUCCUUCUUCUCCGAUUGGGCAGCUUUGCCCAAUCCCUCUUCUUUUCUGUUUUCUUCUCACGCACACACACACACAAAACUUUCUCUCAUCCCAACCAUCCAUUUCAUUCAUCAUUAAAUCUGGGCCGUCCAUUUUCAUAAAAGAAUUUCUAUAUUUUACUAAAAUUAUAAUUCCUUAAAAUCCCAACUUCAAACUUUAAUAACUUCUUCGAUAUAACUCCAAAUCACGAACCGUCUGCGCCCACGCGUCCGUAACGACGAGUACUACGGGGAUAUGUCAAGAAAACAAAUCUUAGAUGGCACGACAUGGUGAUUAACCUCGAAUAAUGCACGUACCUUCAAAGGGCAUUUUUGUAAAAUCCUUUAUGAAAACUUUAAAAAUUCUUAAAAUUAGGGACGGGCUGUCACAAUCUACCCACCUUAAAGAAAUUUCGUCCCCGAAAUUUACACAAUCUUUACAAUCCAGCAAUAUCCAUAAAACAGCCCGAAACACAACUCUCUCAUUCGAUUUCUCUGACUUUCAAGUAGUUUCUUCCACUGAAAGAUUCCUCCAUAAAUUUUCACCAAACUCAGAGUCUUGAAUAUCAUCCGUCCCCAAUUCUAACAAUUUCGAAACACAAGACAUAGCUUUCCACGGCCUUAUGGCGUUACUCUAGGGAACAAACUGAAGGGACCAACAUACCCAAAAGUUUAACAGAUCCCAAUCUCCUUUUUCCAUAAAACAAAUAAAUAACUGUUGCGCUUAUCUGGAAAGGUUGAUGUUCUCAUACUGAAGUAACAUACGCUGACGUCACAAGUCGAUCAAUUAUUAUUCAAAUUCCAACCUAACUAUUUUGUAUACGAGGAAGCUUGUCCACGAAAUCCAUAGUAAUAUUCUCCCAUUUCCGCCGUGGAAUGGGAAAUGACUACAUUAUUCCAAAAGACUUAUUUCUUUCUGCUUUAACCUGAUGACUGAUGAUACGCCUACUAACAUACUUCGCCAUUCCUCUUUUCAUACCCGUCAAUAGUACAUGAACGAAUGGUAUGAUAAAUCUUAGUACUUUCGGGAUGCAUUGUAGAAGUGGAAUAAUGUACAUCGUCAAAAUUGCUUUCUUUAAUUCCACACCAUUAGGCAAACACUUUGUUCCCUUGCAUAAGCUUGUCAUCUGAUUCUCUAACUCUAAGGUCUUUCUUUUUCCCGUUAUUCCUUGCUUUAAAUAAAUUCUUGAAUUUCUUCGUCAAACGCUUGAGUCUCGAGUACGAUCUACCAAAUGGGUCCAACUUGGAAAUUAGCAAAUAAGGCUUCUUCUCGAUUUUUCGAUACCCAACUUUACUCCAGUAGAUUUCAAAUCCACAAGAAGAUGAACAUAGCAAGCGUACCAAGCAUUAAUUCUCACUGGGGUCUUCCUACUAAAUGCAUCAGCCACAAUAUUAGCUCGACCACCCUAGUCGCACAAUCAUAAUCACUAAGCAACUCAAUCCACCUUUGUUGCCUAAGAUUAAUAUCUCUCAGCGUAAACAUAUAUUGGAGACUCUUAUGAUUCAUUAAAAUCUUGCAUUUCUCACCAAUAAUAUAAUGUCUCCAUAACUUCAAAGUAAGAAUGAUAGCCGCCAAUUCCAAAUCACACGUAGGGUAAUUCAUCUUAUGAGAUCCCAAUGGCCAUGAAGCAUAGGCAAUCAUCCUACCAUGCUGCAUCAACGCGCAUUCAAGAACAUUCAAAGAAGUAUUACUAUAGACCACAUAAUUACCACUAUCGUCUGGGAGUGUGAAAACAGAUGCAUGAGUGAGGGAAUACUUUACUUGCUGAAGCUCUACUUAUAAUUUUUCAUCCCACUCAAACUUAACCUCUUUUCUCAUCAAUCUCGCCAAGGGCGAAGCAAUAAUUAAAAUCUUGGACGAACUAUCGACAAUAUCCUGCUAAUCCGAGAAAACUCUGAACCUCAGUCACAGUUCGCAAUUGUUCCAAAUUCUCAAUCGUUGCUACUCUUUUAAGAAUCCAUUUGAAUACCUUAAGUAGAUAUAAUUAAUUUAUCCAACAUUAGCAUUUGCUAAACUUAGCAUACAUCAACGUUCCCUCAAUCUUUGCAACACCAACUUUAAAUAUCUAGCAUGCACUGCUCUAAUCUUAUCAAUCUCGUCAAUGGCAAACAAUAACAACCCGGUCCAGAUAUCACUGGAAUACUUCCUUCAGCAAACUCAUAAAAGUAGCAGGUGCAUUCGUCACUCCGUAUGGCAUCCUAACUUGAAAUGACCAUAACGAGUCCUGGAUUCAGUCUUAUGAACAUCCUCACUGUUAAUCUUCAACUAAUAUCAUUCAGACCUCUAGUCAAUCUCAGAAAGUACCCAGGCGCCUCAGAGCUGAUCAAAUAAUCAUCAAUACACAACAAUGGAUAACAGCUCUCAAUCGUUACCCGAUUCAAUUACCUAAUAUCAAUGCCUAGCCUUAAUGUCCACUUUCUUCCUCACAAAUAAACCGAAGCUUUUCCAAUGUGAUAUAAUAAGUUGAAUGGAACUUUUAACUCAACCUGAACCAAUCUCUAACAUAGGAUUUGUACCUAAAAACAAUUCAAUAAUGGAACCCACAUCUCUGCCUGGCGGUAAUCUAGGUAAGUCAUUUGGAAAUACACCAGGAAAAUGUCUAACCAUCUUUACAUCUUCCAUACUAUUAGGAUCAACAUCAUUUAGCACCAUAUGAACUAAAUAUCUUGGCAGCCUUUUGAUAACAAUCUUCUUUGCUCUCUCAACAUGAAUAAUGGCAUGACUCACUCCACUUUACUUACCCCCAAAAGUAACCUAUGGUCAUCCAGGUCGACAAAAAUUAACUGAUUCGCCAUAGCAAUCUAGCUUGGCAAAUUUAUUCUGCACCCACUUUGUGCCAAAAAUCACCUCAAAAUCCACAAUAUCCAACGGAAUAAAAUUCACCGACAUGACAUUUUUCACCAUCACCGGACACCCUAAAUAGCACCAUACUAACGUAGGAUGACCUACGUGUUUACUUGCUUAACGAAUCCAACAAAUAAGUUAUAAAUAUUACGGUAUGCAGCCCGCAAUACAAAUAACCCAAUGUUGUCUCGAUAAGUAAGUAACAAUUCCUGAAUGUGUAAUAUUAUCUUGUUCUUCCUUAGAAAUACAUAAAUACGCCUCGAUCGUGCUCCAACAUUACUUUCUUUGGCAACAUCAUCCAUAUAAGAAAUAUAUCAGUUGGAGUCAGCUAGAAUGACCUGUGCGACUGAGUCUACAACUUGACUAUCCAUGCUAGCUCAUAAGUCGAAGUCACAUAUAGUGACCUGUACGACUUACCCGUCAAUUUUCCAAGUGAUAUGUUAAGGAAGACUGUUGGGUAACAACUGAUCUCAGGGACAAUUCAUACCUCUAUGUCCCAUCCGUCCACAUGAACACAUUCACUGAUUCCCACACUCUCCAAAGUGUCUAAUAUUAUACCUAUGGCACAAAUAUACAUUUCCUCUACCAGAGUCAUCUUGUCUCAAAAAUCUGGGAUCACUAGUAAAUCUAUCACUUCGCCUCUGACCAGUGGCAGUAAAACCUAAGCUGGGAAAAUUAGCUCUAAUUUCACUUCCUUUGAAGCUUUGAGUCCUCCGAGGUUUUUGAUAUGACGAAUCUUUAACUUUAUCGUCUUAUUCUGAUUCUCAUUCCUUUCUUAUUCCUCUUUACUCUCGCUGAUCAUAUUCUCAAAGUCUUUAAAGCCCAACAACAUCUCGUAAACUCUUGGUAAAAAGUACAAUGGAUUGUGGUCGCCAAAGAACGUCACUUCUUCUUAUUAUCCAGCCAAAAACGACAUAACACCUCGACCGGAUUAGUAACAACAUCCGAAUGGAAACAAGGCAAGUCUGUAUUCAAAUUUAACUUAUAACCAGUCUCAAGGUUCCUUUAGAUAAUAGACUGAAUCACAAUGGCAAUAGUUCCCCCCCAAACUACUAUAUCAGGGAAUUUAGGCUCAUCCGAACUACGUGGCUCGCUACGAGGCGGUAUAGUUCUGACAGAAAACACUAGGAAAUUCUCAAGAUGUCCAGAAUUGCAACCUAGGCUCUGAUACCAACUGACACACCCCGUCCCGAAGGAGGGCGUGCUGGCCGUCACGUGAGAGUGACGUAACCAUUUACACAGUUCGGAAGCUUUAAAAAAACUUUCCAAUUACUAAGAUAACACACCCGAGGGUGAGUCCUACUUUUGUGAAUUCUGUCAGAACACCGUUGGAUUCCUCGUGGCCACCAAAGCUCUGCUAACUUGAACCUGGAGGGGCGCAAAACAAAAUUGAGUGGGUCAGUAAAACAAAGUUUUUCGAAAACUUUUCAUUUAAAACAUUUCUAACCCCUCACCGUAAAACCUGUAUACUUUCCCAGAAAAUAGCAUAUAUAUAAACAUAUAUAUAAGCAAAAAUCUCAAAUCUCAAACCUUUAACACUUUUCAGAAAUAUAUAUAUAUAUAUAUAUAUAUAUAUAACCAUAUGAAAUCUCAAAAGCUUGAAUUCCCAAAUCUUUAACAUUUUUCAAGAAAAACAUGCCAUGCCAUAAAUCAAAAUAUAAAUCAGGUGAAAUAAGGAAUCAAUCGGAGACCCUGCAGUUGGUCCUAUACGAUUAAUUCAAUAGCUCAAUAUCUCACUAAGCCGGAGUCACCACAGUGACCUAUACGGCCCUACUCUGCACAUCACUCGGAACUACGUAAGGUAGUCUAUACGAUGAAAGGUGUAAAAAUACGCUCUAGUGCUUCUCUCAUCAUAUCAUCAGCGCGCAUAUCUAAGGUCACCCACCAGUCGGAACCCCUCUAAUGGUCUGUACGACUGGCAUGUCGGAACCCUCACAUGGUCUGUACGACAUCCACCUACUUGGAUCCAAGGCGAGCGUGCGGUGUGGUGAAUAAAUAUAAGCACUAACACCUAGGGUGCAGGUUAUGAGCUCAAAACAUCUCAACAAACAAUUCAAUGAAUAAAUGAACUCACCUGACUUACCUGUGCCUCCACAGCACCAUGCAACAUGUAUGCAUCAUAUAUCAAUCAUAUAACUCAUAUAACAAUUCACAUUUUUCAAAUAAUUCUAUGCAUGGCAUUUUUAAAACAUAUUUUCAUAUAAAUUCAUUUUCUGGGAAAAAUCAAUAGUAUAAAGGUAAUACAAAAACAAAACUGCCCACUCAC
rnacentral:lncRNA from 1 species